AACAGCAUAAUGUACUGCACAAAAGCAAAAAAUUGACAAUGUCCUCUACAAUGUCAUACAAACUGGUACAGUACAUCUACCACCAAUGACAGUGUCCCCUACAAUGUCAUAAAAACUGAAUCUUCGCUAGCCAAGGGUUACGAUCCACUUCCCUCCUCUCCACCCUUGGCAGAUUAAGCCAACAUUUGUGAUAACAAUGUUGCGCCAUCUAUCGGUAGAUUAAAGUCACACCCAUUCCGAAUACAUCAUUCUUGACCAAUGGUAACACUUGAACUCUUCAAUUUGGAGGUAGCGUCUAGAUUCUACACACUUGGUAAAGCAGGUAACGAAAAUAUACGUUGACAUUCAUGCAUUUGUGCAAGAAACAUACACAGGAAAUUCUAUUAAUUGAUUAAAAACAUUCAAAUUGUCACUAAGUAUAGGCGUAUAUUUAGGGAUGUAAAGACUUGUUGCACAAUAAGCACGUGCCAAUUGUUAACAUACACUUUCUACAUUUACACGUAAUCAUGUUAUAGGCACUUUUUGAUUGGAUGCAGCGAGUUUCAACUGCAACCAAUGAAAAUCAUUACCAUGUGUCUCCGAAAUUCUAUCUCAAUCCGCCAAGGGUGGAGAGGAGGAAAGUGGAUCGUAACCCUUGGCUAGCGAAGAUGUACAAACUGGUACAGUACAUUUACCACCAAUGACAGUGUCCCCAACAAUGUCAUACAAACUGGUACAGUACAUCUACCACCAAUGACAGUGUCCACUACAAUGUCAUACAGACUGGUACAGUACAUCUACCACCAAUGACAGUGUCCACUACAAUGUCAUACAAACUGGUACAGUACAUCUACCACCAAUGACAGUGUCCUCUACAAAGUCAUAAAAACUGGUACAGUACAUCUACCAACAAUGACAGUGUCCUCUACAAUGUCAUACAAACCGGUACAGUACAUCUACCAACAAUGACAGUGUCCUCUACAAUGUCAUACAAACCAGUACAGUACAUCCAUCAGAUGACAGUGUCCUCUACUAUGUCAUACAAACCAGUACAGUACAUCUACCACCAAUGACAGUGUCCUCUACAAUGUCAUACAAACUGGUACAGUACAUCUAUCACCAAUGACAGUGUCCUCUACAAUGUCAUACAAACCAGUACAGUACAUCCAUCAGAUGACAGUGUCCUCUACAAUGUCAAACAAACCGGUACAGUACAUCUACCACCAAUGAUAGUGUCCUCUACAAUUUCAUACAAACCGGUACAGUACAUCUACCACCAAUGACAUUGUCCACUACAAUCUCAUACAAACCGGUACAGUACAUCUACCACCAAUGACAUUGUCCACUACAAUGUCAUACAAACCGGUCCAGUACAUCUACCACCAAUGACAUUGUCCACUACACUGUCAUACAAACUGGUACAGUACAUCUACUACCAAUGACAUUGUCCACUACAAUGUCAUACAAACUGGUACAAUACAUCUACCACCAAUGACAGUGUCCUCUACAAUGUCAUACAAACUGGUACAGUACAUCUACCACCAAUGACAGUGUACCCUACAAUGUCAUACAAACUGGUACAAUACAUCUACCACCAAUGACAGUGUCCUCUACAAUGUCAUACAAACUGGUACAGUACAUCUACCAACAAUGACAAUGUCCCGUACAAAGUCAUACAAACUUGUACAGUACAUCUACCACCAAUGACAGUGUCCCCUACAAUGUCAUACAAACCGGUACAGUACAUCUACCACCAAUGACAGUGUCCUCUACAAUGUCAUACAAACUGGUACAGUACAUCUACCACCAAUGACAGUGUCUCCUACAAUGUCAUACAAACUGGUAUAGUACAUCUACCACCAAUGACAGUGUCCCCUACAAUGUCAUACAAACCGGUACAGUACAUCUACCACCAAUAACAGUGUCUCCUACAAUGUCAUACAAACCGGUACAGUACAUCUACCACCAAUGAUAGUGUCCUCUACAAUGUCAUACAAACCAGUACAGUACAUCUACCACCAAUGACAGUGUCUCCUACAAUGUCAUACAAACUGGUACAGUACAUCUACCAUCAAUGACAGUGUCCCCUACAAUGUCAUACAAACCAGUACAGUACAUCUACCACCAAUAACAGUGUCUCCUACAAUGUCAUACAAACCGGUACAGUACAUCUACAACCAAUGACAGUGUCCACUACAAUGUCAUACAAACCAGUACAGUACAUCUACCACCAAUGACAGUGUCCUCUACAAUGUCAUACAAACUGGUACAGUACAUCUACCACCAAUGACAGUGUCCACUACAAUGUCAAACAGACUGGUACAGUACAUCUACCACCAAUGACAGUGUCCUCUACAAUGUAAUACAAACCAGUACAGUACAUCUACCACCAAUGACAGUGUCCACUAAAAUGUCAUACAAACUAGUACAGUACAUCUACCACCAAUGACAUUGUCCACUACAAUGUCAUACAAACCAGUACAGUACAUCUACCACCAAUGACAGUGUCCUCUACAAUGUAAUACAAACCAGUACAGUACAUCUGCCACCAAUGACAGUGUCCACUACAAUGUCAUACAAACCAGUACAGUACAUCUACCACCAAUGACAGUGUCCACUACAAUGUCAUACAAACCAGUACAGUACAUCUACUACCAAUGACAGUGUCCACUACAAUGUCAUACAAACUGGUACAGUACAUCCAUCAGAUGACAGUGUCUUCUACAUUGUCGUACAAACCGGUACACUACAUCUACCACUAAUGACAGUGUCCCCUACAAUGCUUUUUAUAUGACCUCAAAAAAUUUGCGUCGUAUAUUGUUAUCAUGUUGUCGUCGUUUGAAGACACAUUUGGUUUCUGAACAAUAACUUUAGUUUAAGUGAAUGGAUCUCUAUUUUUCUAUACCAGAAGGUUCAAUACCACAAAUGGAAGGUUGGGAUUGAUUUUGGGGGUUAUGGUACCAACAGUUAAGGAAUUAGGGGCCAACAAGGGGCCAAAAAUAAGCAUUUUCUAGUUUCCAGACAAUAACUGUGGAACGGUGUAUGGAUCUCUCUGAAAUUAUACUAUAAGUUUCCAUACCACAAAGGGAUGGUUAGGAUUUGCUUUGGGGGGUUAUGGCUCAAACCGUUUAGGAAUUAGGGGCAAAAAAGGGGGAAAAACAGGGUUGUCCUGGUUAAUGGACAAAUACUUUAGUACAAAACAUAAUUUAAAGCAGUGUAAGGGAGAUAAAUCAAAUACAUCAUUGAAAUUAUCUCCCUUACACUGCUUUUAAAUUAUGUAUAAAGUAAUGGUUAAUGAACAAUAAAGAUAAUUUAAAACAGUGUAAGGGAGGUAAUCCAAAUACAACGUUUUAGUUACUUCCCUUACACUGCUUUUAAAUUAUGUUUAAAGAAAUGCAUAUUUAUAAAGGAAGACCAGUAAAAAUAUCUGCAAAUGUUGCAUCUUUUUUUUUUACAAAAAAAUCCAUAUGAAAGAUUUGACACUAUAUUUUUAAUUCUAUUAUAAAAUAGAUUAAGUUAGCACUAUGGUAAAUUUAAAUGGGUAAUUAUGGUUGCCAACUCCAUUGGAAAUUUGAAUUGAGAUUAUGACUAUAUCUUGAGGGAAAGAAUUUUUUGGGGGAAAAAAGGUGGGG